GUGUUCACUUCUGCAGUACAUGUACUAAAAUUUGUAAAUACAGAGAUUAGUGUGGCCCCUAUGCAAGGAUGAUACACAGAUUCAUGAAGUGUUCCGUAUGUUU